AGAGCGAACGCUGGCGGCAGGCUUAACACAUGCAAGUCGAGCGGGCGUAGCAAUACGUCAGCGGCAGACGGGUGAGUAACGCGUGGGAACGUACCUUUUGGUUCGGAACAACCCAGGGAAACUUGGGCUAAUACCGGAUAAGCCCUUACGGGGAAAGAUUUAUCGCCGAAAGAUCGGCCCGCGUCUGAUUAGCUAGUUGGUGAGGUAAUGGCUCACCAAGGCGACGAUCAGUAGCUGGUCUGAGAGGAUGAUCAGCCACAUUGGGACUGAGACACGGCCCAAACUCCUACGGGAGGCAGCAGUGGGGAAUAUUGGACAAUGGGCGCAAGCCUGAUCCAGCCAUGCCGCGUGAGUGAUGAAGGCCCUAGGGUUGUAAAGCUCUUUUGUGCGGGAAGAUAAUGGCGGUACCGCAAGAAUAAGCCCCGGCUAACUUCGCGCCAGCAGCCGC
rnacentral:rRNA from 1 species